UGAGGAAUAUUGCACAAUGGGCGCAAGUCUGAUGCAGCGACGCCGCGUGUGGGAUGAAGGGGCUACGCCUCGUAAACCACUGUAGCCCGGGACGAAAAACGCCUUAGAGGCGUUAGACGGUACCGGGAAAGUAAGGGUCGGCUAACUACGUGCCAGCAGCCGCGGUAAUACGUAGGACCCAAGCGUUGUCCGGAUUUACUGGGUGUAAAGGGUGCGCAGGCGGAUGGGUAAGUCAGGGGUGAAAGUGUGCAGCUUAACUGGAGAAUUGGCUUUGAUACUGGUCAUCGUGAGUGUGGGAGAGGUUGAUGGAAUUCCAGGGGUAGCAGUGAAAUGCGUAGAUAUCUGGAAGAACACCAGUAGCGAAGGCGGUCAACUGGCACAUAACUGACGCUCAUGCACGAAAGCGUGGGGAGCAAACA
rnacentral:rRNA from 1 species